rnacentral:misc_RNA from 1 species
GAUGAAGAACGUAGCGAAAUGCGAUAAGUAAUGUGAAUUGCAGAAUUCAGUGAAUCAUCGAAUCUUUGAACGCACAUUGCGCCCCCUGGUAUUCCGGGGGGCAUGCCUGUUCGAGCGUCAUUACAACCCUCAAGCUCUGCUUGGUAUUGGGCCCCGCCAGUUCUGGCGGGCCCUAAAGUCAGUGGCGGUGCCUUCCGGCACCGAGCGUAGUAAUUCUUCUCGCUCUGGAGACCCGGUUGUGUGCUUGCCAACAACCCCCAAUUUUUUAAGGUUGACCUCGGAUCAGGUAGGGAUACCCGCUGAACUUAAGCAUAUCAAUAAGCGGAGGA